GAUGAACGCUGGCGGCGUGCCUAACACAUGCAAGUCGAACGGGAUCCAUCAGGCUUUGCUUGGUGGUGAGAGUGGCGAACGGGUGAGUAAUGCGUGACCGACCUGCCCCAUACACCGGAAUAGCUCCUGGAAACGGGUGGUAAUGCCGGAUGCUCCAGUUGAUCGCAUGGUCUUCUGGGAAAGCUUUCGCGGUAUGGGAUGGGGUCGCGUCCUAUCAGCUUGACGGCGGGGUAACGGCCCACCGUGGCUUCGACGGGUAGCCGGCCUGGGAGGGGGACCGGCCACAUUGGGACUGGGAUACGGCCCAGACUCCUACGGGAGGCAGCAGUGGGGAAUAUUGCACAAUGGGCGCAAGCCUGAUGCAGCGACGCCGCGUGAGGGAUGGAGGCCUUCGGGUUGUAAACCUCUUUUAUCGGGGAGCAAGCGAGAGUGAGUUUACCCGUUGAAUAAGCACCGGCUAACUACGUGCCAGCCGCCGCCGUAA
rnacentral:rRNA from 1 species